CAGCAGCCACGGUAAUACGUAGGUGGCAAGCGUUGUCCGGAAUUAUUGGGCGUAAAGGGCUCGCAGGCGGUCUCUUAAGUCUGAUGUGAAAGCCCCCGGCUCAACCGGGGAGGGUCAUUGGAAACUGGGAAACUCGAGUGCAGAAGAGGAGAGUGGAAUUCCACGUGUAGCGGUGAAAUGCGUAGAGAUGUGGAGGAACACCAGUGGCGAAGGCGACUCUCUGGUCUGUAACUGACGCUGAGGAGCGAAAGCGUGGGGAGCGAACAGGAUUAGAUACCCGCGUAGUCCCUGUCUCUUAUAC
rnacentral:rRNA from 1 species